rnacentral:rRNA from 1 species
UACAUAGGUCUCAAGCGUUGUUCGGAUUCAUUGGGCGUAAAGGGUGCGUAGGCGGCGCGGUAAGUCGGGUGUGAAAUCUCGGAGCUUAACUCCGAAACUGCAUUCGAUACUGCCGUGCUUGAGGACUGGAGAGGAGACUGGAAUUUACGGUGUAGCGGUGAAAUGCGCAGAUAUCAGGAAGAACACCCGUGGCUAAGGCGGUUCUCUAGUACGGUACUGACGCUGAGACGCGAAAGCGUGGGGAGCGAACAGG